rnacentral:rRNA from 1 species
UACAGAGGGGGCAAGCGUUGCUCGGAAUCACUAGGCGUAAAGGGCGCGUAGGCGGGAUGGCAAGUCGGUCGUGAAAUCUCUCGGCUCAACCGAGAAACGUCGGCCGAUACUGCCGUUCUUGAGGGAUGCAGAGGAGACUGGAAUUCCCGGUGUAGCGGUGAAAUGCGCAGAUAUCAGGAGGAACACCGGUGGCGAAGGCGGGUCUCUGGGCCGUAACUGACGCUGAGGAGCGAAAGCGUGGGGAGCGAACAGG